AGUGAACGCUGGCGGUAUGCCUAACACAUGCAAGUCGAACGGCAGCACAGUAAGAGCUCGCUCUUACGGGUGGCGAGUGGCGGACGGGUGAGGAAUACAUCGGCAUCUACUUUUUCUUGGGGGAUUACGGGAGGAAAGUUCUGCUAAUAGCUGAUACUUUCUACGGGUUGAAGCAAAAGAUCAUGGCGCUCUUGCUGUUUGAAUUAGCCGGAUCCGGGCUGCAUUAGCUAGUUGGUAAGGGAACGGCAAACCAAGGCAACGAUGCAUAGCUGAUCUGAGAGGAUGAUCAGCCACACUGGAACUGAGACACGGUCCAGACUCCUACGGGAGGCAGCAGUAGGGAAUAUUCGACAAUGGGCGAAAGCCUGACCGAGCAACACCGCGUGAGUGAAGAAGGUCUUCGGAUUGUAAAGCUCUGUUGUUGGGGAAGAAAAGAUGUGGGUGAAUACGCGGCUGUUCUGACGGUACCCAAAGAAUAAGCAACGGCUAACUUCGUG
rnacentral:rRNA from 1 species